UGGAAGGUCAGAUACAAUGUCAGAAUAUAGAUUAGCUGACAUUCAUUAUUCUUUCCUAUAGAAAUUGUUGCUUUCUGAUGACCACAUUGUUAAAGAAUACAUAAUGUGGACAGAUACGAAGUGUACAUGU